rnacentral:rRNA from 1 species
UACGUAGGGUGCAAGCGUUGUCCGGAAUUAUUGGGCGUAAAGAGCUCGUAGGCGGUUUGUUGCGUCGGCUGUGAAAUCCCGAGGCUCAACCUCGGGUCUGCAGUCGAUACGAGCAAACUAGAGUGUUGCAGGGGAGACUGGAAUUCCUGGUGUAGCGGUGAAAUGACGCAGAUAUCAGGAGGAACACCGAUGGCGAAGGCAGGUCUCUGGGCCACUACUGACGCUGAGAAGCGAAAGCAUGGGGAGCGAACAGG